rnacentral:rRNA from 1 species
UACAGAGGGUGCAAGCGUUGUUCGGAAUUAUUGGGCGUAAAGGGCGCGUAGGCGGCCUGAUAAGUAGGGGGUGAAAUCCUGCGGCUUAACCGCAGGGCUGCCUUCUAAACUGUCAGGCUUGAGCACAGUAGAGGCAGGUGGAAUUCCCGGUGUAGCGGUGGAAUGCGUAGAGAUCGGGAAGAACAUCAGUGGCGAAGGCGGCCUGCUGGGCUGUUGCUGACGCUGAGGCGCGACAGCGUGGGGAGCAAACAGG